rnacentral:rRNA from 1 species
UACAGAGGGUGCGAGCGUUAAUCGGAAUUACUGGGCGUAAAGCGCGCGUAGGCGGCUUCGCAAGUCGGGUGUGAAAUCCCCAAGCUCAACUUGGGAACUGCAUUCGAGACUGCGUUGCUAGAGUAUGGGAGAGGGAAGUGGAAUUUCAGGUGUAGCGGUGAAAUGCGUAGAUAUCUGAAGGAACAUCAGUGGCGAAAGCGGCGAUCUGGGUAGAUACUGACGCUGAGGUGCGAAAGCGUGGGGAGCAAACAGG